rnacentral:rRNA from 1 species
GUGGGAAAUAUUGGACAAUGGGGGGAACCCUGAUCCAGCCAUGCCGCGUGUGUGAAGAAGGCCUUUUGGUUGUAAAGCACUUUAAGCGAGGAGGAGGCUACCGAGAUUAAUACUCUUGGAUAGUGGACGUUACUCGCAGAAUAAGCACCGGCUAACUCUGUGCCAGCAGCCGCGGUAAUACAGAGGGUGCAAGCGUUAAUCGGAUUUACUUGGCGUAAAGCGCGCGUAGGUGGCCAAUUAAGUCAAAUGUGAAAUCCCCGAGCUUAACUUGGGAAUUGCAUUCGAUACUGGUUGGCUAGAGUAUGGGAGAGGAUGGUAGAAUUCCAGGUGUAGCGGUGAAAUGCGUAGAGAUCUGGAGGAAUACCGAUGGCGAAGGCAGCCAUCUGGCCUAAUACUGACACUGAGGUGCGAAAGCAUGGGGAGCAAACAGGAUUAGAUACCCCGGUAGUCC